CCUACGGGAGGCAGCAGUGAGGAAUCUUUGUCAAUGGGCGAGAGCCUGAACCAGCGAAGUAGCGUGAAGGAUGACUGCCCUACGGGUUGUAAACUUCUUUUAUAAAGGAAUAAAGUGAGGCACGUGUGCCUUUUUGUAUGUACUUUAUGAAUAAGGAUCGGCUAACUCCGUGCCAGCAGCCGCGGUAAUACGGAGGAUCCGAGCGUUAUCCGGAUUUAUUGGGUUUAAAGGGAGCGUAGAUGGGUUGUUAAGUCAGUUGUGAAAGUUUGCGGCUCAACCGUAAAAUUGCAAUUGAUACUGGGAGUCUUGAGUACAGGUGAGGUAGGCGGAAUUCGUGGUGUAGCGGUGAAAUGCUUAGAUAUCACGAAGAACUCUGAUUGCGAAGGCAGCUUACUAAACUGCCACUGACACUGAUGCACGAAGGUGUGGGUAGCGAACAGGAUUAGAUACCCCAGUAGUC
rnacentral:rRNA from 1 species